CAAUAUUCCAUUUCUCAUUCUCGGAAUGCUUUGUUCAUUCCCAGGGGGAUGAUUUUAUGCAGUGGCAGAGUCGGUCUGAUCUUCCUCUUGCUUCUCUUUCAAAUUGCAGCAUGAAUAAUAUUAUCUGAUCUUUAGUGGUGGUGGUUCAUGAAAAUCAUACUUAGAUUCUUAAUCCAGGAAGACCUUUUAUUGAAACGUUUUGCUUUUCAAACAAAUCUUUGCAUGACUUCACAUUUUCAGCUUAUUUACUAAUUCCUUUAUGGAGGCUCAGAAGUCCAAGGUUGAGAGGCUGCAUUUGGCGAGGUCCUUCUUGCUGGUGGGAACUCUCUGUAGAGCCCAGAGGCAGCUCAGGGCAUCACAAGAUAAGGGGGCUAAACAUACCAGCUCAGGUCUUUCUUCUUUUUAUGAAGCCACCAGUCUCAC
rnacentral:lncRNA from 1 species